CAGCCAAUGGCUUCACGCAGUCCCACACCUGCUCUGGUGUCCCAUUCACGAUGCCUUCUCCCCGGUACCUGGAGCACAAAAGAGGAAUCGGAAGAGUACACG